AGCACUGGGGAGUUUAAAAUGUUUCCCGCUGUUGUCUCUUCUCCACACAGCCUGUCAUCCCGUGCCACAACUUUGCCCUGACUUCAGGCGCUUCCCUGCCUGAGUGGGUGUGGAGAUUCACGAUGCUGUUCUUGUGGGAGAGUGAUCCACUCUUGUGUAGUUGUCCACGUUCUUGACCUCAUGCUCUGGGAGCAGAGAGCCAGGAGGCCACCACUGAUCCGGCAUUUUCCCUCCAACGUCAUCGUGUUUUUUGCUUGUUUGUCGUAAGGAGUACAAUGGGCAAUUCAGAGUCUCUAAUUCACCAGAUGAGGUAAA